rnacentral:rRNA from 1 species
GGGUUGUGAGGUUAAGCGACUAAGCGUACACGGUGGAUGCCCUGGCAGUCAGAGGCGAUGAAGGACGUGCUAAUCUGCGAUAAGCGUCGGUAAGGUGAUAUGAACCGUUAUAACCGGCGAUUUCCGAAUGGGGAAACCCAGUGUGUUUCGACACACUAUCAUUAACUGAAUCCAUAGGUUAAUGAGGCGAACCGGGGGAACUGAAACAUCUAAGUACCCCGAGGAAAAGAAAUCAACCGAGAUUCCCCCAGUAGCGGCGAGCGAACGGGGAGCAGCCCAGAGCCUGAAUCAGUGUGUGUGUUAGUGGAAGCGUCUGGAAAGGCGCGCGAUACAGGGUGACAGCCCCGUACACAAAAAUGCACAUGCUGUGAGCUCGAUGAGUAGGGCGGGACACGUGGUAUCCUGUCUGAAUAUGGGGGGACCAUCCUCCAAGGCUAAAUACUCCUGACUGACCGAUAGUGAACCAGUACCGUGAGGGAAAGGCGAAAAGAACCCCGGCGAGGGGAGUGAAAAAGAACCUGAAACCGUGUACGUACAAGCAGUGGGAGCCUCUUUAUGGGGUGACUGCGUACCUUUUGUAUAAUGGGUCAGCGACUUAUAUUCUGUAGCAAGGUUAACCGAAUAGGGGAGCCGAAGGGAAACCGAGUCUUAACUGGGCGUUAAGUUGCAGGGUAUAGACCCGAAACCCGGUGAUCUAGCCAUGGGCAGGUUGAAGGUUGGGUAACACUAACUGGAGGACCGAACCGACUAAUGUUGAAAAAUUAGCGGAUGACUUGUGGCUGGGGGUGAAAGGCCAAUCAAACCGGGAGAUAGCUGGUUCUCCCCGAAAGCUAUUUAGGUAGCGCCUCGUGAAUUCAUCUCCGGGGGUAGAGCACUGUUUCGGCAAGGGGGUCAUCCCGACUUACCAACCCGAUGCAAACUGCGAAUACCGGAGAAUGUUAUCACGGGAGACACACGGCGGGUGCUAACGUCCGUCGUGAAGAGGGAAACAACCCAGACCGCCAGCUAAGGUCCCAAAGUCAUGGUUAAGUGGGAAACGAUGUGGGAAGGCCCAGACAGCCAGGAUGUUGGCUUAGAAGCAGCCAUCAUUUAAAGAAAGCGUAAUAGCUCACUGGUCGAGUCGGCCUGCGCGGAAGAUGUAACGGGGCUAAACCAUGCACCGAAGCUGCGGCAGCGACGCUUAUGCGUUGUUGGGUAGGGGAGCGUUCUGUAAGCCUGUGAAGGUGUGCUGUGAGGCAUGCUGGAGGUAUCAGAAGUGCGAAUGCUGACAUAAGUAACGAUAAAGCGGGUGAAAAGCCCGCUCGCCGGAAGACCAAGGGUUCCUGUCCAACGUUAAUCGGGGCAGGGUGAGUCGACCCCUAAGGCGAGGCCGAAAGGCGUAGUCGAUGGGAAACAGGUUAAUAUUCCUGUACUUGGUGUUACUGCGAAGGGGGGACGGAGAAGGCUAUGUUGGCCGGGCGACGGUUGUCCCGGUUUAAGCGUGUAGGCUGGUUUUCCAGGCAAAUCCGGAAAAUCAAGGCUGAGGCGUGAUGACGAGGCACUACGGUGCUGAAGCAACAAAUGCCCUGCUUCCAGGAAAAGCCUCUAAGCAUCAGGUAACAUCAAAUCGUACCCCAAACCGACACAGGUGGUCAGGUAGAGAAUACCAAGGCGCUUGAGAGAACUCGGGUGAAGGAACUAGGCAAAAUGGUGCCGUAACUUCGGGAGAAGGCACGCUGAUAUGUAGGUGAAGUCCCUUGCGGAUGGAGCUGAAAUCAGUCGAAGAUACCAGCUGGCUGCAACUGUUUAUUAAAAACACAGCACUGUGCAAACACGAAAGUGGACGUAUACGGUGUGACGCCUGCCCGGUGCCGGAAGGUUAAUUGAUGGGGUCAGCGCAAGCGAAGCUCUUGAUCGAAGCCCCGGUAAACGGCGGCCGUAACUAUAACGGUCCUAAGGUAGCGAAAUUCCUUGUCGGGUAAGUUCCGACCUGCACGAAUGGCGUAAUGAUGGCCAGGCUGUCUCCACCCGAGACUCAGUGAAAUUGAACUCGCUGUGAAGAUGCAGUGUACCCGCGGCAAGACGGAAAGACCCCGUGAACCUUUACUAUAGCUUGACACUGAACAUUGAGCCUUGAUGUGUAGGAUAGGUGGGAGGCUUAGAAGUGUGGACGCCAGUCUGCAUGGAGCCGACCUUGAAAUACCACCCUUUAAUGUUUGAUGUUCUAACGUUGACCCGUAAUCCGGGUUGCGGACAGUGUCUGGUGGGUAGUUUGACUGGGGCGGUCUCCUCCUAAAGAGUAACGGAGGAGCACGAAGGUUGGCUAAUCCUGGUCGGACAUCAGGAGGUUAGUGCAAUGGCAUAAGCCAGCUUGACUGCGAGCGUGACGGCGCGAGCAGGUGCGAAAGCAGGUCAUAGUGAUCCGGUGGUUCUGAAUGGAAGGGCCAUCGCUCAACGGAUAAAAGGUACUCCGGGGAUAACAGGCUGAUACCGCCCAAGAGUUCAUAUCGACGGCGGUGUUUGGCACCUCGAUGUCGGCUCAUCACAUCCUGGGGCUGAAGUAGGUCCCAAGGGUAUGGCUGUUCGCCAUUUAAAGUGGUACGCGAGCUGGGUUUAGAACGUCGUGAGACAGUUCGGUCCCUAUCUGCCGUGGGCGCUGGAGAACUGAGGGGGGCUGCUCCUAGUACGAGAGGACCGGAGUGGACGCAUCACUGGUGUUCGGGUUGUCAUGCCAAUGGCACUGCCCGGUAGCUAAAUGCGGAAGAGAUAAGUGCUGAAAGCAUCUAAGCACGAAACUUGCCCCGAGAUGAGUUCUCCCUGACCCUUUAAGGGUCCUGAAGGAACGUUGAAGACGACGACGUUGAUAGGCCGGGUGUGUAAGCGCAGCGAUGCGUUGAGCUAACCGGUACUAAUGAACCGUGAGGCUUAACCUUACAACGCCGAAG